rnacentral:sRNA from 1 species
AAUUUCAGACACUGCGCAUGAGCAGUAAUAGAAACGGUUAUAGAAGUAGACAUCUUUUGUUUUUAGAUUGGGAAAUAUAACUAGAUAACCUGAUUCUAGAGAUAUCAAGUAUCUAACAGACAUGAGUAGCUCAGAAGAAGUAUCAUGGAUAUCAUGGUUUUGUGGAUUAAGAGGAAAUGAAUUUUUUUGUGAGGUGGAUGAAGACUAUAUUCAAGAUAAGUUUAACCUGACUGGACUUAAUGAACAAGUGCCACAUUACAGACAAGCAUUAGACAUGAUUUUGGAUCUUGAACCU